GAUGAACGCUAGCUACAGGCUUAACACAUGCAAGUCGAGGGGAAACGAUAUUGGAAGCUUGCUUCCGAUAGGCGUCGACAGGCGCACGGGUGAGUAACGCGUAUCCAACCUGCCCAUCACUGGGGGAUAACCUUGCGAAAGUAAGACUAAUACCCAAUGACGUCUCUAGAGGACAUCUGAAACAGAUUAAAGAUUCAUCGGUGAUGGAGGGGGAUGCGUUUGAUUAGAUUGUGUGCGGGAUAACGGCCCACGAAGGCGACGAUCAGUAGGGGGUCUGAGAGGAAGGUCCCCCACAUUGGAACUGAGACACGGUCCAAACUCCUACGGGAGGCAGCAGUGAGGAAUAUUGGUCAAUGGGCGAGAGCCUGAACCAGCCAAGUAGCGUGCAGGAUGACGGCCCUAUGGGUUGUAAACUGCUUUUAUAAGGGAAUAAAGUGGGAGUCGUGACUCCUUUUGCAUGUACCUUAUGAAUAAGGACCGGCUAAUUCCGUGCCAGCAGCCGCAGUAA
rnacentral:rRNA from 1 species